CCCUUAGAUGUUCUGGGCCGCACGCGCGCUACACUGAUGCAUUCAACGAGCCUAUCCUUGACCGACAGGUCCGGGUAAUCUUUGAAUCUGCAUCGUGACGGGGAUAGAUUAUUGCAAUUACUAAUCUUCAACGAGGAAUGCCUAGUAGGCGCAAGCCAUCAGCUUGCGUCGAUUACGUCCCUGCCCUUUGUACACACCGCCCGUCGCUCCUACCGAUUGGGUGUGCUGGUGAAAUGUUCGGAUCGGCCGUUUGUCGCGGUUUCCGCGGCUCGUGGCUGAGAAGUUCAUUAAACCCUCCCACCUAGAGGAAGGAGAAGUCGUAACA
rnacentral:rRNA from 1 species